rnacentral:rRNA from 1 species
UACGUAGGGUGCAAGCGUUAAUCGGAAUUACUGGGCGUAAAGCGUGCGCAGGCGGUUGUGCAGGACAGAUGUGAAAUCCCCGGGCUUAACCUGGGAACUGCAUUUGUGACUGCACGGCUAGAGUGUGUCAGAGGGGGGUAGAAUUCCACGUGUAGCAGUGAAAUGCGUAGAUAUGUGGAGGAAUACCGAUGGCGAAGGCAGCCCCCUGGGAUAACACUGACGCUCAUGCACGAAAGCGUGGGGAGCAAACAGG